rnacentral:rRNA from 1 species
CAAUAGCGUAUAUUUAAGUUGUUGCAGUUAAAAAGCUCGUAGUUGGAUUUCGGAUGGGACUUGCCGGUCCGUCGUUUCGAUGUGCACUGGCCAGUCCUAUCUUGUUGUCGGGGACUAGCUCCUGGGCUUCACUGUCCGGGACUAGGAGCUGACGAGGUUACUUUGAGUAAAUUAGAGUGUUCAAAGCAAGCCUACGCUCUGAAUACAUUAGCAUGGAAUAACACGAUAGGACUCUGGCUUAUCUUGUUGGUCUGUGAGACCAGAGUAAUGAUUAAGAGGGACAGUCGGGGGCAUUCGUAUUUCAUUGUCAGCGGUGAAAUUCUUGGAUUUAUGAAAGACGAACUUCUGCGAAAGCAUUUGUCAAGGAUGUUUUCAUUAA